UGGGGAAUUUUGGACAAUGGGCGAAAGCCUGAUCCAGCCAUGCCGCGUGAGUGAAGAAGGCCUUCGGGUUGUAAAGCUCUUUCGGCCGGGACGAAAUCGCCGUUUCUAAUACAGACGGUGGAUGACGGUACCGGAAUAAGAAGCACCGGCUAACUACGUGCCAGCAGCCGCGGUAAUACGUAGGGUGCGAGCGUUAAUCGGAAUUACUGGGCGUAAAGCGUGCGCAGGCGGUUAUGAAAGACAGGCGUGAAAUCCCCGGGCUUAACCUGGGAACGGCGCUUGUGACUCCAUGACUCGAGUACGGCAGAGGGGGGUGGAAUUCCACGUGUAGCAGUGAAAUGCGUAGAGAUGUGGAGGAACACCGAUGGCGAAGGCAGCCCCCUGGGCCGAUACUGACGCU
rnacentral:rRNA from 1 species